rnacentral:rRNA from 1 species
UACGUAGGGUGCGAGCGUUAAUCGGAAUUACUGGGCGUAAAGCGUGCGUAGGCGGUUCGUUAUGUCUGCUGUGAAAUCCCCGGGCUCAACCUGGGAAUGGCAGUGGAAACUGGGCGGGCUUGAGUGUGGCAGGAGGGGGGUGGAAUUCCGCGUGUAGCAGUGAAAUGCGUAGAGAUGCGGAGGAACACCGAUGGCGAAGGCAGCCCCCUGGGCUAACACUGACGCUGAGGCACGAAAGCGUGGGGAGCAAACAGG